AGCGAACGCUGGCGGCAGGCCUAACACAUGCAAGUCGAACGAAGUCUUCGGACUUAGUGGCGGACGGGUGAGUAACACGUGGGAACGUACCUUUUGGUUCGGAACAACUCAGGGAAACUUGAGCUAAUACCGGAUGAGCCCUUAGGGGGAAAGAUUUAUCGCCGAAAGAGCGGCCCGCGUUAGAUUAGCUAGUUGGUGAGGUAAAGGCUCACCAAGGCUACGAUCUAUAGCUGGUCUGAGGGGAUGAUCAGCCACACUGGGACUGAGACACGGCCCAGACUCCUACGGGAGGCAGAAGUGGGGAAUCUUGCGCAAUGGGCGAAAGCCUGACGCAGCCAUGCCGCGUGAAUGAUGAAGGUCUUAGGAUUGUAAAAUUCUUUUACCAGGGACGAUAAUGACGGUACCUGGAGAAAAAGCCCCGGCUAACUUCGUGCCAGCCGCCGCGGUAAGAC
rnacentral:rRNA from 1 species